rnacentral:rRNA from 1 species
UACGGGGGGAGCAAGCGUUGUUCGGAUUUACUGGGCGUAAAGGGCGCGUAGGCGGCCACCGCAAGUCAGUUGUGAAAUCUCUGGGCUUAACCCAGAAAGGUCAACUGAUACUGCGGGGCUAGAGUGCAGAAGGGGCAACUGGAAUUCUCGGUGUAGCGGUGAAAUGCGUAGAUAUCGAGAGGAACACCUGCGGCGAAGGCGGGUUGCUGGGCUGACACUGACGCUGAGGCGCGAAAGCAUGGGGAGCGAACAGG